UGGGGAAUAUUGCGCAAUGGGCGAAAGCCUGACGCAGCGACGCCGCGUGAGGGAUGAAGGCCUUCGGGUUGUAAACCUCUUCAGCAGGGACGAAGCGAAAGUGACGGUACCUGCAGAAGAAGCACCGGCCAACUACGUGCCAGCAGCCGCGGUAAUACGUAGGGUGCAAGCGUUGUCCGGAAUUAUUGGGCGUAAAGAGCUCGUAGGCGGUCUGUCGCGUCGGCUGUGAAAACUCGGGGCUCAACCCCGAGCCUGCAGUCGAUACGGGCAGACUAGAGUCCGGCAGGGGAGACUGGAAUUCCUGGUGUAGCGGUGAAAUGCGCAGAUAUCAGGAGGAACACCGGUGGCGAAGGCGGGUCUCUGGGCCGGAACUGACGCUGAGGAGCGAAAGCGUGGGGAGCGAACAGGAUUAGAUACCC
rnacentral:rRNA from 1 species